UGGGGAAUAUUGGACAAUGGGGGGAACCCUGAUCCAGCCAUGCCGCGUGUGUGAAGAAGGCCUUAUGGUUGUAAAGCACUUUAAGCGAGGAGGAGGGUACUGGUAUUAAUACUACCAGGUACUGGACGUUACUCGCAGAAUAAGCACCGGCUAACUCUGUGCCAGCAGCCGCGGUAAUACAGAGGGUGCGAGCGUUAAUCGGAAUUACUGGGCGUAAAGCGCGCGUAGGUGGUUCGUUAAGUUGAAUGUGAAAGCCCCGGGCUCAACCUGGGAACUGCAUCCAUAACUGGCGAGCUAGAGUAGGGCAGAGGGUGGUGGAAUUUCCUGUGUAGCGGUGAAAUGCGUAGAUAUAGGAAGGAACACCAGUGGCGAAGGCGACCACCUGGGCUCAUACUGACACUGAGGUGCGAAAGCGUGGGGAGCAAACAGG
rnacentral:rRNA from 1 species